AUGCUUACCUGGCCAGGGAGACACCAUGAUCAAGCAGGUGGUUUUCCCAGGGUGAGGUUCAUCCCUUGCACUCCAGGUGUGCUGACCCCUGCAAUUUCCCCAAAUGUGGGAAACUCAGCAGCACAAUUUGUGGUAGGGGGGGUCGGCAUUAGAGAUUUCUUUUU
rnacentral:snRNA from 1 species